UUGGCCAUAUUUUGCAUCUUCAGACCUUUGUUUUUUCUCUUUCUCUUUUUCCCUUUUCCUUUGACUCAAUGCAUGGAACUCAUCAAAACUCAACAUGCCAGGAUUUGACAUGUUGCCUUC
rnacentral:ribozyme from 14 species